rnacentral:rRNA from 1 species
GGGGAAUUUUGGACAAUGGGCGAAAGCCUGAUCCAGCCAUGCCGCGUGUGUGAAGAAGGCCUUUUGGUUGUAAAGCACUUUAAGCGAGGAGGAGGCUACUUAGAUUAAUACUCUAGGAUAGUGGACGUUACUCGCAGAAUAAGCACCGGCUAACUCUGUGCCAGCAGCCGCGGUAAUACAGAGGGUGCGAGCGUUAAUCGGAUUUACUGGGCGUAAAGCGUGCGUAGGCGGCUGAUUAAGUCGGAUGUGAAAUCCCUGAGCUUAACUUAGGAAUUGCAUUCGAUACUGGUCAGCUAGAGUAUGGGAGAGGAUGGUAGAAUUCCAGGUGUAGCGGUGAAAUGCGUAGAGAUCUGGAGGAAUACCGAUGGCGAAGGCAGCCAUCUAGCCUAAUACUGACGCUGAGGUACGAAAGCAUGGGGAGCAAAC